UGGCUCAUAUCAUUUCAUGGAUGAUGGAACUCAUCAUUUUUAGUUUUUCUCAAAAUUAUAAUAUGAAUUAAACCGUCAUCGCAUAUAGCAAUUUGCUAGAAAAAUAAUACCAAACCAUCAUUUGAAAUAGCAGUUUAAUUUAAAAAAAUACAAAAAUAUAUAUUUUAUGUACCGUCCUAUGUAGACGGUAUCAUGGGAAAUAAGUUUUUCAUGAAUAUAAAGUGGGAAAUAUGUUUUGAGAAUUGCACUAUUAAGGGCAAAGAUUCUAUUUAAUCCCUCCUCAUUUUAUUUUAUGUUUUUUUUCCAUAAUUUUUUUUUCUCAUUUGCCAAAAUGAAAAUCAGAAUUUUCAUUAAAUACUAUUCAUCAUCUUCCCCAAAUUUUUUUUCCCAAACCCUAUUUCAUUUUCAGAGCUCACUGAUCAGAUAAAUCAAUAACUAGAUCUUCACUGCUUCAUCUGUAUUCUCAAAAGUCAGACAGCCACCAAGUCUCCUCUUCCUUCGCCUUUGUCAUUAAGCAAAACUGAGAAGCAAUUUUUCAUGUACUCUAUAUCCCAUCGCCAAUUAGCAUCAACAAAAACCCUGGUCCGUAGUAUUUGAUUCAAAGCAUUUUCCAUUGCCAUUUUCCCAUUCGUUUAACUGUUAAUCGCCAUUGUUUAUGUACUUCACUCAAAUCUUGGCCAUUCUCAUCGUGUUUUCCUUCUACAUUUCGAUUUCACCGGCAUUUACUCUGUGACCGAAAGUGAUUUUUCUUUUAUUGUCUUUCUUUAAUUUAGUUUGUAGAAGUGAUUUUUUUCAUUUUUUAAUUCGUUUUGUAAGUUUUUUGAUUUCGUUUUGAUUUUGAUUAUCCCCUUAUUUAUUUUUGUAAUUUUAUCCCAUUAUUCCAUUUUGUAACAUCAUUUUUUAUUUCAUUUUAAAAUUUUUUGUUGAAUCUCUUCAUUUUUUGUAUAUUUUGUUGUCUGUUUUGAUUAUUUAUUGUCAAUAGUAGACCACAUUGGAUUUAGGAGAUUUGUUUUUGGUCUCAAUUCUUUUUUUAAGAUGAUAUCUCGAGCAACCUUAAAGCGUGAUAUCAUGAAAAUGUACGAUGAAGAUAAGAAAGCACUCAAGGCGUUAUUGGAGCAUAAUGAGAGUAAGGUGUCAAUUACUAUCGAUAUGCGGACAACCUCCAAUCAAAAGAAAGGUUAUAUGGUUGUUACUUCUCAUUUUAUCAACCAACAAUGGAUCCUUAGAAAUCGUACUUUAAGGUAAUAAGUCAAUUUCUAAUUUGCAAUUGAUAAUUUAUUUACUAUAAUCUGAGAUGUUAUAUGUUGUUUUAUGAAAUUCAGAAAUAUUGUUUGCUUAUAUAUAUGUUAUAUAUAGGUUUUGUUAUGUUUCAUGUUCACAUUCAAAAGAGUUUUAAUGGAUAGUUUGUCUCAAUAUUCUUUAGAGAACAAAAUUUCUUCUAUGGUUGUUGAUAAUUGCAGUACUAAUGAUGCUAUGAUGAGAAUCUUAUCGGAUAAGUUUGAGAAAAGUUCACAUCUAUUGGGUGGAAAGUUUAUGCAUAAUAGAUAUAGUGUUCAUAUUUUAAAUCUUAUUGUCCAAGAUGGGUUAGAUGUGAUUAAUUCUGCGAUUGAGAAAGUUGAGACUGUGUUUCAUUUUGGAUGUUAAGACCAAAAAGAAUUGAAAAUUUUGAGGAGACAUGUCGUUUUUUGAAUUUAAGUACUAGUAAGAGGCUUAUUCUUGAUUGUAAGACUAGGUGGAACUCUACAUUUUUAAUGCUUCAAGCAGUUUUGCCUUUUAAGGAUGUGUGCUUGAGGUUAAAACAUUUGAAUAAGAGAAUGAAAUUUGAGGUUCCUAGUGAAGAAGAUUGGACUUCUGCUGAUCCUGUGUGUGAGAAGUUGGAUAUUUUUUAUGAUACAACUUUUAUAUUUUUCGGAAGGAAAUACACUACCAUUAAUUUGUUUUUUCGACGUAUUUGUGAAAUUAAAGUUGUUUUGAAGCAAUGCUUAGAAUGUGAUGUCGAAGUUAUUAAGUGUAUGGCUCAAAAAAUACAAGAAAAAUUUGACAAGUAUUGGGAAAACAUUAAUGGAUUCUUAGCUGUUGUAUCUGUUUUAGAUCCAAGAAACAAAAUGGAUUGUAUUAAGUUUUAUUUUGACUUGUUUUAUGAUGGUGAAGCUAAGGUGCAAAUUGAAAGAAUUAGAAAGCUUCUUGAUAUGCUAGUUGAUGAGUAUCAAGAGAAUAAGAAUAAGGAUUAUGAAUUACUUACUCAAAUUUCCAAGAAAUGGGUACCUGUGCAAUCUUCUAAGAGUGGAUGGGAUUUAUGGGCCAAAAUAAAAUUGCUAAGAUUAGCACAAAAAAGUGGACCCAAUCUUUGAAGUGGAUCAUUAUUUAGCCCGUGAAUCACUACCGGAAGAUGAAGAGUUUGAUGUUCUUAAAUGGUGCAGUAAGAAUGAUAAGUAUCCAAUUUUCAGAAAGAUUGCCAGGGACAUUCUUGCUAUACCCAUAUCAACUGUGGCUUCAAAAAGUGCUUUUAGUACGGGAGGAAGAGUAGUUAGUCCACACAGAUGUAGACUACAUUCCCAUACUCUAGAAGCACUUAUGUGUUUGCAAAAUUGGAUGACCAAAGACCUUAAAGGUACAUCAGAAAACGUUCAUGGUUGUUCAACAAUAAAUGAAGAUUUCAAUGUUGAAGGCGAUGGAUCUUGAUGACGACCCUCAUGAUUAGAGGAAGGAGUGCAGCAUUUAGAAAAUGGAUGAUAUGGGAGUUAGAUUUGAAUUUUACAAAGAUUAAUUGUGUAUUUUAGAUUUUAGUGUUUUCGUAAUUUGAAUUUUACAAAGAUUAAUUGUGUAUUUUAGAUUUUAGUGUUUUCGUAACUUGAAUUUAAGUGUUUUAAUGUUGUUUGUAAUGUUUGAGUAAUUUCUGCCAUUGAAGUAAAAAUAUGUUAUUCAAAUUUGUUUUUAAGUUUGGUUUUGAAAUCAUUAU